rnacentral:rRNA from 1 species
UACAGAGGUCUCAAGCGUUGUUCGGAUUCAUUGGGCGUAAAGGGUGCGUAGGUGGUGCUGUAAGUCAGGUGUGAAAUCUCGGGGCUCAACCCCGAAACUGCACUUGAUACUGCGGUGCUUGAGGACUGGAGAGGAGAUCGGAAUUCAUGGUGUAGCAGUGAAAUGCGUAGAUAUCAUGAGGAAGACCAGUGGCGAAGGCGGAUCUCUGGACAGUUCCUGACACUGAGGCACGAAGGCCAGGGGAGCAAACGGG